rnacentral:misc_RNA from 1 species
AAAAGUCGUAACAAGGUCUCCGUUGGUGAACCAGCGGAGGGAUCAUUACUGAGUUACAUCUCUAUAACCCUUUGUGAACAUACCUUUAUAAGUUGCUUCGGCGGGUUCUACGAUCUCGGUCGUACGCCUUCGCGGGCGCCCGCCGGAGUUGCCAAACUCUGAUUUAAUCAUGUUUCUUCUGAGUGUAUAAGCAAAUAAUCAAAACUUUUAACAACGGAUCUCUUGGUUCUG